GUCAGGUUGGCCAAGCGGUCUAAGGUGCUGCGUUCAGGUCGCAGUCUCCCCUGGAGGCAUGGGUUCAAAUCCCACUUCUGACA
rnacentral:tRNA from 2 species